AACGCGAAGAACCUUACCCAGGCUCGAAAUGCAAGAGACGAUAUCAGAGAUGAUAUUUUCCGCAAGGACUGUUGCAUAGGUGCUGCAUGGCUGUCGUCAGCUCGUGCCGUGAGGUGUUGGGUUAAGUCCCGCAACGAGCGCAACCCUUAUCAUUAGUUGCCAACACGCAAGGUGGGGACUCUAAUGAGACUGCCUGGGUUAACCAGGAGGAAGGUGAGGAUGACGUCAAGUCCGCAUGGCCUUUAUGUCUGGGGCUACACACGUGCUACAAUGGUCGGUACAGAAGGCAGCAAGACCGCAAGGUGGAGCAAAUCCGGAAAGCCGAUCUCAGUUCAGAUUGUCGUCUGCAACUCGACGACAUGAAGUCGGAAUUGCUAGUAAUGACGUGUCAGCAACAACGUCGUGAAUACGUUCCCGGGCCUUGUA
rnacentral:rRNA from 1 species